rnacentral:rRNA from 1 species
UACGAGGGGGGCGAGCGUUGUUCGGAAUUAUUGGGCGUAAAGCGCACGUAGGCGGCUUUGCAAGUCAGAGGUGAAAGCCCGGGGCUCAACCCCGGAAUUGCCUUUGAGACUGCAUCGCUAGAAUUGUGGAGAGGUAAGUGGAAUUCCGAGUGUAGAGGUGAAAUUCGUAGAUAUUCGGAAGAACACCAGUGGCGAAGGCGACUUACUGGACACAUAUUGACGCUGAGGUGCGAAAGCGUGGGGAGCAAACAGG